rnacentral:rRNA from 1 species
AGAGGUGGCAAGCGUUGUUCGGAAUUACUGGGCGUAAAGGGCGCGUAGGCGGUUCGGUAAGUCCUGUGUGAAAUCCCUCGGCUCAACUGAGGAACUGCACGGGAGACUGCCGGGCUUGAGUUCGGGAGAGGGAAGCGGAAUUCCGGGUGUAGCGGUGAAAUGCGUAGAUAUCCGGAGGAACACCGGUGGCGAAGGCGGCUUCCUGGACCGACACUGACGCUGAGGCGCGAAAGCUAGGGGAGCAAACGGGAUUAGAUACCCCGGUAGUCCUAGCUGUAAACGAUGAGCGCUGGGUGUAGGGGGUAUCAACCCCCCCUGUGCCGAAGCUAACGCAUUAAGCGCUCCGCCUGGGGAGUACGGUCGCAAGGCUG